rnacentral:tRNA from 16 species
AGUUCAGUCGGUAGAACGGCGGACUGUUAAUCCGUAUGUCACUGGUUCGAGUCCAGUC